rnacentral:lncRNA from 1 species
CUGGUCUCUGAGGGGGCUGGGGGCCGUGGGCAGGGGGCUUCCAGGCGUCUACCCAAUUCCCAGCCGUCUCUUGCUCUCAUGCGCACGUUGAACCUAAAGCAGACCUCGCAGCAGACAGGAAUCCAACGAACGAUCAAGUCUCUGUAACAGUUACGGUAGAUGCUUGGUGCCCAGCCAAACUUCCCUUAACCACAACCCACUCCCCCAGUUGCCACUGGCUGGUGAAGGCUCACAGCUGUCUCCCCUGAAGACUGGGAGUGAAGAUUAUACAUUUCUUCUCCUGGGGCUGACCGUAGCCAAUAACUGACUGGUGUGGAUGUGCAAAAGGCCAGCACCCCCACCCCCGACUUUAGGCACG